rnacentral:ncRNA from 1 species
GACUUGACUACUGGUCAGGGGGUUGUUAGCAGUAGAGCAGCUUUUACACUGCGAUCUGUUGAGACUUAGCCCUUGAUCGGAUGAUUUGU